UACGUAGGGCGCAAGCGUUAUCCGGAAUUAUUGGGCGUAAAGAGCUCGUAGGCGGUUUGUCGCGUCUGCUGUGAAAGACCGGGGCUCAACUCCGGUUCUGCAGUGGGUACGGGCAGACUAGAGUGCAGUAGGGGAGACUGGAAUUCCUGGUGUAGCGGUGAAAUGCGCAGAUAUUUGGAGGAACACCAGUGGCGAAAGCGACUUCCUGGGACGUUUCUGACGCUGAGGUUCGAAAGCUCGGGGGAGCAAACAGG
rnacentral:rRNA from 1 species